GGAGGGGGAGGCGGCAGAUCCCGUAAGUCGGGCGGCCGCGUAGUAGCUGCAGCCUCCGCCGCCGCCGCCGCAUUCAACAGGCAGCAGCGCCGCGGCCGCGCUGCCGAGAGGAGCGAGCCGCCCGCGGCGCCCGUCAGCUGUCCGGACCGCGCUUUGUCAGCGGGAGCCCCGCGCCGGCGCUGCCCGAGCCCGGCGACCCUGGCCUGCCGUCCCGUCGGCGCAGCGGACCCGGAGGAGUGUGGUUGUUGAUGGACUCGCCAAGUUAAGUUCUGGGCUCGCGCUGCCACUUCGCCGCGCCUUCCUCGCGGUUUCCGUCCGCCCGCCGCAGCGCUCUCGCCCCCAGCCUCGGACCGGCGCCUCGCGCCCCUCCCCCGGGCCCCCGGUCCUGCGCUCUGCCCCUCUCGGCUCUCCCGGCUGGGGGAGGGGCGGGGGUCACCAUGGCCGAAGCGCCCCAGGUGGUGGAGAUUGACCCGGACUUCGAGCCGCUGCCGCGGCCGCGCUCGUGCACCUGGCCGCUGCCCAGGCCGGAGUUCAGCCAGCCCAGCUCGGCCACCUCCAGCCCGGCGCCGUCGGGCGGCGCGGCCGCCAACUCCGACGCCGCCGCCGGCCUGCCCUCGGCGGCCGCUGUCAGCGCCGACUUCAUGGGCAGCCUGAGCCUGCUGGAGGAGCGCGGGGACUUCCCGCCCGCGCCCGGCUCCGUGGCGGCGGCCGCGGCGGCCGCGGCGGCGGUGGCGGCGGCGGCGGCGGCGGCGGCCGCCACCGGGGGGCUGUGCGGGGACUUCCAGGGCCCCGAGGCGGGCUGCCUGCACCCGGCGCCGCCGCAGCCCCCGCCCGCCGGGCCGCUAGCGCAGCACCCGCCCGUGCCCCCCGCCGCGGCCGGGCCGCUGGCCGGGCAGCCGCGCAAGAGCAGCUCGUCCCGGCGCAACGCGUGGGGCAACUUGUCCUACGCCGACCUCAUCACCAAGGCCAUCGAGAGCUCGGCCGAGAAGCGGCUCACGCUGUCGCAGAUCUACGAGUGGAUGGUCAAGAGCGUGCCCUACUUCAAGGAUAAGGGCGACAGCAACAGUUCGGCGGGCUGGAAGAAUUCAAUUCGUCAUAAUCUGUCUCUGCACAGCAAGUUCAUCCGUGUGCAGAAUGAAGGAACUGGAAAAAGCUCUUGGUGGAUGCUCAACCCAGAAGGAGGCAAGAGUGGAAAAUCCCCCAGAAGAAGAGCUGCGUCCAUGGACAACAACAGUAAAUUCUCUAAGAGCCGAGGUCGAGCCGCCAAGAAAAAAGCAUCCCUCCAGUCUGGCCCAGAGGGUGCCGGAGACAGCCCGGGGUCUCAAUUCUCUAAGUGGCCUGCCAGCCCUGGCUCUCACAGCAAUGACGACUUUGAUAACUGGAAUACAUUUCGCCCUCGAACUAGCUCAAAUGCUAGUACUAUUAGUGGGAGACUCUCUCCCAUUAUGACUGAACAGGAUGAUCUUGGAGAUGGUGACGUGCAUUCAAUGGUGUAUCCACCCUCCGCUGCAAAGAUGGCUUCUACUCUGCCCAGUCUGUCAGAGAUAAGCAAUCCUGAAAACAUGGAAAACCUUUUGGAUAAUCUCAACCUCCUGUCAUCACCAUCGUCAUUAACUGUUUCAACCCAGUCUUCACCUGGUGCCAUGAUGCAGCAGACCCCGUGCUACUCGUUUGCACCGCCAAACACCAGCCUGAAUUCACCCAGUCCAAACUACCAAAAAUAUACCUAUGGCCAAUCCAGCAUGAGCCCCUUGCCCCAGAUGUCAAUGCAAACCCUUCAGGACAAUAAAUCGAGCUACGGAGGAAUAAGUCAGUAUAAUUGUGCACCAGGACUCUUGAAGGAGUUACUUACUUCUGACUCUCCUCCCCAUAAUGACAUUAUGGCACCAGUUGAUCCUGGGGUGGCUCAACCUAACAGUAGGGUCCUGGGCCAAAAUGUGUUGAUGGGCCCUAAUUCGGUCAUGCCAAGCUAUGGCAGCCAGGCAUCUCAUAACAAAAUGCUGACUCCCAGCUCCCAUUCCCACCCUGGGCAUGCCCAGCCAACCUCUGUAGUUAAUGGGCGUGCCUUGCCCCACACAGUGAACACCAUGCCCCACACUUCGGGUAUGAGCCGCCUGGCCCCAGUGAAGACAGCUUUGCCAGGGCCUCCACCUCACCCCAUGCAGAUGAACGCCCUUGGGGGCUACUCCUCCAUGAGCAGCUGCAACGGCUACGGCAGGAUGGGCAUCCUCCACCAGGAGAAGCUCCCCAGUGACUUGGACGGCAUGUUUAUUGAGCGCCUGGACUGUGACAUGGAAUCCAUCAUUCGGAACGACCUCAUGGAUGGAGAUACUUUGGAUUUUAAUUUUGACAAUGUGUUGCCUAACCAAAGCUUCCCGCACAGUGUCAAGACGACAACACACAGCUGGGUGUCGGGCUGAGAGUGAAUUCCCGAGCAGGUAAGAUGACCCCAUUAUCAAAAGGCCUGCAAACAAAACUCAAAGGAGAGGAGUACUGUGACUGCCAUCCAUCGCCCAUGGCUAAGACUUUUUAAAGGCCAACUAGCUACCUCUUGCAGAGAGGCUAUACUUAAAAGUACUUCAGAUUGUCUGACAGCAGGAACUGAGAAGAAGUCCAAAGAUGUCCUUCAUCCCAAUCUUUUCAUUUUCUUGAUUAAAAAAAAUACACACCAAAAACCUUUUUUAUUUUAUUUUUCUUUCGUCAGACUUGGCAGCAAAGACACUUUUCCUGUACAGGAUGUUUGCCCAACGUUUGCAGGUUAUGUGCUGCUGUAGAUAAGGACUGUGCCAUUGGAAAUUUCAUUACAAUCAAGUGCCAAACUCACUACACCAUAUAACUGCAGAAAAGACUUUCAGAUCCUGGUGUGCUUUCAAGUUUUGUAUAUAAGCAGUAGCUACAGAAUUAUAUUUGUGUGUGUUUUGUUUUGUUAAAUAUCCAUUUGGUCCAAGGAAAGUUUAUACUUUUUGUAAUACUGUGAUGGUCUCCUGUCCUUGAUAAGUUAAACUUCUGUUUGUACUACCUGUGUUCCGCUGAACUGAUGAAUCACAGAGAACCAAGGUCUCCAUUCUGUACCUUCGUUGAACAGCUUUGAACCUGUUCAUUUUGCCACAUAAUUCACGUGAGAACCAGUAAUCUGUCAUCAAUCUGCUGAAUUAAUGGACUUGUCAAACUC